GGGCGUGUGGCGUAGUGGUAUCGCGUUUGCUUCGCAUAAAUCAUCGGAUGAGUUCGAUGGCGUCUGUAAAAGGUCACCGGUUCGAUCCCGGUCACGUCCA